rnacentral:rRNA from 1 species
AACGUAGGAGACAAACGUUAUCCGGAGUUACUGGGCGUAAAGGGCGUGUAGGCGGUCUGUUAAGUCUGGCGUGAAAGCUCUCGGCUAAACCGGGAGAGGUCGUUGGAUACUGGCAGACUAGAGGACGGUAGAGGCGUGUGGAAUUCCGGGUGUAGUGGUGAAAUGCGUAGAGAUCCGGAGGAACCCCAGAGGCGAAGGCGGCGUCCUGGCCCAUUUCUGACGUUCAGACAUGACAGCAUGGGGAGCGAACGGG